GGCGAGAUAGCUCAGUUGGCUAGAGCACAUGGUUCAUACCCGUGGUGUCGAGGGUUCGAAUCCCCCUCUCGCUA
rnacentral:tRNA from 1 species